rnacentral:rRNA from 1 species
GACGAACGCUGGCGGCGUGCUUAACACAUGCAAGUCGAGCGGAAAGGCCCUUCGGGGUACUCGAGCGGCGAACGGGUGAGUAACACGUGAGUAACCUGCCCCAGACUUUGGGAUAACCCUCGGAAACGGGGGCUAAUACCGGAUACGACACAGCUUCGCAUGGGGUCUGUGUGGAAAGGUUUUCGGUUUGGGAUGGGCUCGCGGCCGAUCAGCUUGUUGGAGGGGUGAGGGCCGACCAAGGCGACGACGGGUAGCCGGCCUGAGAGGGGGACCGGCCACCCUGGGCCUGCGGCACGGCCCAGUCUCCUACGGGAGGCAGCAGUGGGAAAUAUUGCCCAAUCGGCCGAAGCCUGUUGCGGAGACGCCGCGUGUGGGAUGACGGCCUUCGGGUUGUAAACAUCUUUCAGCAGGGACGAAGCGUAAGUGACGGUACCUGCAGAAGAAGCGCCGGCCAACUACGUG